UUUCGGUGUAGACAAACUGGUAAAGUCGCUUGGCUUUGACCCAAGAGCGUGAAGGUUCGACUCCUUCCACCGAAGUC
rnacentral:tRNA from 1 species